CCAUCUGAGAAACUUCCUUCUUCCUAUAGCCUUGGCCGAGGAUUCACUCUCUGACAUCAAUUAUACAAAAAAGUGAAAAUUAUAAGAGAGCGAAAGAAGAGAAAAAGUUAGAGAGUAGAGAAUCAAGAAGAAAGAUUCAUCAACUGAUCAAGAUUAGAACAGUUUAGAUACAUCAACUUCUAGUUCUACUUCAUGACGGCUCAAAUUGGCAGCAAGUCCUGAACCAUAAUACUCUGAUAAUUUCUGCAGCAAGAUAUGCUGCCCAUACUGCUAUUCUCAUGAAACCAAUCCACCCAUCCACCAUUGAAGUUCAAAAGCACAAAAAGUGGCGACUGCAAUUGAAUGGAUUUAAAUGUAAAAAUACAAUGCUCUUUCAUGUUCUGACAGAAGCUUGAUACAAUGCAAAAAAGGGUCAUUUCAUCACUCAGAUAUUUUGGGGUAUUAUGGGGAAGAGAGGAGAAUAUUCAUAUUCAGCUUGCAUCCUUCAGAAUUCAAACUUUUAAAGAACAAAAUCUACCAAUCCACAGUUAAAAAGCUGAGCUAAUAUAUGGAGCCAUUUCCUCAACAGAAAGUACAAAAAUUUGCAAAAAGAUGGGGCAUCACAAAGAAGUCUAAUGCUCAAUCAAGAUACUACCUCCUGGAUCAGAAGGUCUGUUGUUAUUGCCAGGUGGGUUGGGAGGCAAAGGAUUAGGCCCUGGCUUUUGGGACUUGGACUCUAGUGUAAGCAUCUUCAAAGAUAUUUU
rnacentral:misc_RNA from 1 species